rnacentral:misc_RNA from 1 species
AGGAUUUCUUGUGGCCAAUAGGGAACAGGGCCAGGGAGAUGGAAAUUUACUACAUGUAGAUGUGGUAAGCAUCUCUUCCAGCAUUUUGUCAAGCAGCAAUGCUGACAUGAUUGGUCAUGAGGCUAGAAGGAACAGUAGAAGACUGUUUUGGGAUGCAUUUUCAAGACGUAGUUCUAGAAGGCAUCUUGAUUCUCCAACCAUUGUUUUCUCCAGAGAUAAUAGCGAUGAUCUACUAUCUCAUGAUAGAUGGCUCCUUGAUUUCAGUGAUAAUUUUUUUGAUGAUGGGAUAGGCAGUGAUUCUGGGUACUUGCGCAGUAGAAUUCACAACUUGAAUGGACAAAGGCGACACUCGAGAUCUGAGAUCUUGGAAAGACUUCGCAGUGGCCUUGAUGAGCAUGGUCGGAGAACUACCUUCUGUCCAUCUGGACUCCAUCCCGCUGGUACAUGCUCAUGCGAAUCAUUGCCGACAACUGAGGAGCCUAGUAAUCGUGCAAGUAUAUCACGAAUA